ACGGGUGCGGAAACGUACAGAACCUACCUCAUUCUGGGGCAUAGCCCGAAGAAAUUCGGAUUAACUCCCCAUAGUAUUAUUGGAAGGCAUCUUUUGGUAAUUAAAAAUUUAUUGGAAUGAGAUGGCUGUGCGUCCCAUUAGCUAGUUGGUAGGGUAACGGCCUACCAAGGCGACGAUGGGUAGCUGGUGUGAGAGCACGACCAGCCACACGGGCACUGAGACACGGGCCCGACUCCUACGGGAGGCAGCAGUGAGGAAUAUUGGUCAAUGGACGCAAGUCUGAACCAGCCAUGCCGCGUGAAGGAUGAAGGCCUUCUGGGUUGUAAACUUCUUUUAUCUGGGAAGAAAACUACGGCUUCUACUGUAGCCGACGGUACCAGAGGAAUAAGCACCGGCUAACUCCGUGCCAGCAGCCGCGGUAAUACGGAGGGUGCAAGCGUUAUCCGGAUUUACUGGGUUUAAAGGGUGUGUAGGCGGGCCUUUAAGUCAGUGGUGAAAUCUCCGAGCUUAACUUGGAAACUGCCAUUGAUACUAUUGGUCUUGAAUUCUGUUGAGGUGGGCGGAAUAAGUCAUGUAG
rnacentral:rRNA from 1 species